rnacentral:rRNA from 1 species
AGUCACUGACAUUAGAUACCCGUGUAGUCCCAGCUGUAAACGAUGCAGGCUAGGUGUUUGGACGGCCACGUGCCGUUCUAGUGCCGCAGGGAAGCUGUUAAGCCUGCCGCCUGGGGAGUACGAUCGCAAGAUUGAAACUUAAAGGAAUUGGCGGGGGAGCACCACAAGGGGUGAAGCUUGCGGUUUAAUUGGAGUCAACGCCGGAAAUCUCACCGGGAGCGACAGCAGUGUGAAGGCCAGAUUAAAGGUCUUGCCAGACGAGCUG